GCGCACCAGUCGCGAAAACUUUACAAUGUGCGAAAGCACGAUAAGGGAACUCUGAGUGCCUCCUAAGGAGGCUGUUCAGGUGUCUAAAAAGCACCUGGAGUAAGGGCUGGGUAAGACCGGUGCCAGCCGCCGCGGUAACACCGGCAGCCCAGGUGGUAGCCACUUUUAUUGGGUCUAAAGCGUCCGUAGCCGGUUGAGUAAGUUCCUUGGGAAAUUUGGCUGCUCAACAGUCAAGCCUCCAGGGAAUACUGCUCGACUUGGGACUGGGAGAGGUCAGAGGUACUCCAGGGGUAGGGGUGAAAUCCAUUAAUCCCUGGGGACCACCGGCAGCGAAGGCGUCUGACCAGACCAGGUCCGACGGUGAGGGACGAAGGCUAGGGUCGCGAACCGGAUUAGAUACCCCUGUAGU
rnacentral:rRNA from 1 species